GAGGUGUGGGUAGUCCAUAACGAGCGCACCCUAUCCUUAGUUGCCAGCGAGUAUGUCGGGGACUCUAGGGAAACUGCCGGUGCAAACCGUGAGGAAGGUGGGGAUGACGUCAAAUCAUCACGGCCCUUACGUCCAGGGUCUACACACGUGCUACAAUGGCGCAUACAAAGGGCAGCUACAUGGCAACAUGAUGCUAAUCUCUAAAGUGCGUCUCAGUUCGGAUCGAAGUCUGCAACUCGACUUCGUGAAGCUGGAAUCGCUAGUAAUCGCGUAUCAGCAAUGACGCGGUGAAUACGUUCCCGGGCCUUGUACACACCGCCCGUCAAGCCAUGGAAGUUGGGAGUGCCUGAAGUCGGUGACCGCAAGGAGCUGCCUAAGGUAAAACUAGUAACUAGGGCUAAGUCGUAACAAGGUAGCCGUACCGGAAGGUGCGGCUGGAACACCUCCUUUUU
rnacentral:rRNA from 1 species